GCUUACGACCAUCUCACCCUGAAUGCGCCCGAUCUCGUCUGAUCUCGGAAGCUAAGCAGAGUCGAGCCUGGUUAAUACUUGGAUGGGAGACUGCCUGGGAAUACCAGGUGUUGUAGGCU
ensembl:rRNA 5S_rRNA 5S ribosomal RNA